AUUGAACGCUGGCGGCAGGCCUAACACAUGCAAGUCGAGCGAGCGGCGGACGGGUGAGUAAUGUCUGGGAAACUGCCUGAUGGAGGGGGAUAACUACUGGAAACGGUAGCUAAUACCGCAUACCAUCAGAUGUGCCCAGAUGGGAUUAGCUAGUAGGUGGGGUAACGGCUCACCUAGGCGACGAUCCCUAGCUGGUCUGAGAGGAUGACGAGCCAAACUGGAACUGGGAAACGGGCCAGACGCCUAGGGGAGGAAGAGUUGGGGAAUAUUGCACAAUGGGCGCAAGCCUGAUGCAGCCAUGCGGCGUGGGUGAAGAAGGCCUUCGGGGUGUAAAGCACUUUGAGCGGGGAGGCGGUACCCGAAGAAGAAGCACCGGCUAACUCCGUGCCAGCAGCCGCGGUAAUAC
rnacentral:rRNA from 1 species